rnacentral:rRNA from 1 species
UGGGGAAUAUUGGACAAUGGGCGCAAGCCUGAUCCAGCCAUGCCGCGUGAGUGAUGAAGGCCCUAGGGUUGUAAAGCUCUUUCACCGGUGAAGAUAAUGACGGUAACCGGAGAAGAAGCCCCGGCUAACUUCGUGCCAGCAGCCGCGGUAAUACGAAGGGGGCUAGCGUUGUUCGGAUUUACUGGGCGUAAAGCGCACGUAGGCGGACUAUUAAGUCAGGGGUGAAAUCCCGGGGCUCAACCCCGGAACUGCCUUUGAUACUGGUAGUCUUGAGUUCGAGAGAGGUGAGUGGAAUUCCGAGUGUAGAGGUGAAAUUCGUAGAUAUUCGGAGGAACACCAGUGGCGAAGGCGGCUCACUGGCUCGAUACUGACGCUGAGGAGCGAAAGCGUGGGGAGCAAACAGG